AAUCUUAUAUUCAAUAAUGAUAUAAAAUUGCAAAUUUUAAGGAGUGUUUAAUAUGUACAUUAGGGUUU
rnacentral:tRNA from 1 species